GCGGCUGCUAUACAUGCAGUCGAGCGGACUUGAUGAGAAGCUUGCUUCCCUGAUACGUUAGCGGCGGACGGGUGAGUAACACGUAGGCAACCUGCCCUCAAGUUUGGGACAACUACCGGAAACGGUAGCUAAUACCGAAUAAUUGUUUUCUUCGCCUGAAGGAAACUGGAAAGACGGAGCAAUCUGUCACUUGGGGAUGGGCCUGCGGCGCAUUAGCUAGUUGGUGAGGUAACGGCUCACCAAGGCGACGAUGCGUAGCCGACCUGAGAGGGUGAUCGGCCACACUGGGACUGAGACACGGCCCAGACUCCUACGGGAGGCAGCAGUAGGGAAUCUUCCGCAAUGGGCGAAAGCCUGACGGAGCAAUGCCGCGUGAGUGAUGAAGGUUUUCGGAUCGUAAAGCUCUGUUGCCAGGGAAGAACGCUUGGGAGAGUAACUGCUCUCAAGGUGACGGUACCUGAGAAGAAAGCCCCGGCUAACUACGUGCCAGCAGCCGCGGUAAUACGUAGGGGGCAAGCGUUGUCCGGAAUUAUUGGGCGUAAAGCGCGCGCAGGCGGUCAUUUAAGUCUGGUGUUUAAUCCCGGGGCUCAACCCCGGAUCGCACUGGAAACUGGGUGACUUGAGUGCAGAAGAGGAGAGUGGAAUUCCACGUGUAGCGGUGAAAUGCGUAGAUAUGUGGAGGAACACCAGUGGCGAAAGCGACUCUCUGGGCUGUAACUGACGCUGAGGCGC
rnacentral:rRNA from 1 species